rnacentral:rRNA from 1 species
UACGGAGGAUCCAAGCGUUAUCCGGAAUUACUGGGCGUAAAGAGUUGCGUAGGUGGCAUUGUAAGUCUGUAGUGAAAGCGUGGGGCUCAACCCCAUACACAUUAUGGAAACUGCAAAGCUAGAGGACAAGAGAGGCAUUUGGAAUUCCUAGUGUAGGAGUGAAAUCCGUAGAUAUUAGGAGGAACACCGAUGGCGUAGGCAGAGUGCUGGCUUGUUCCUGACACUAAGGCACGAAAGCGUGGGGAGCGAACGGG